rnacentral:rRNA from 1 species
AUUGAACGCUGGCGGCAGGCUUAACACAUGCAAGUCGAGCGGGGGAAGGUAGCUUGCUACCGGACCUAGCGGCGGACGGGUGAGUAAUGCUUAGGAAUCUGCCUAUUAGUGGGGGACAACAUCUCGAAAGGGGUGCUAAUACCGCAUACGGCCGUCGGGAGAAAGCAGAGGACCUUCGGCCCUUGCGCUAAUAGAUGAGCCUAAGUCGGAUUAGCUAGUUGGGGGGGUAAAGGCCUACCAAGGCGAGGAUCUGUAGCGGGUCUGAGAGGAUGAUCCGCCACACUGGGACUGAGACACGGCCCAGACUCCUACGGGAGGCAGCAGUGGGGAAUAUUGGACAAUGGGGGGAACCCUGAUCCAGCCAUGCCGCGUGUGUGAAGAAGGCCUUAUGGUUGUAAAGCACUUUAAGCGAGGAGGAGGCUACUCUAGUUAAUACCUAGGGAUAGUGGACGUUACUCGCAGAAUAAGCACCGGCUAACUCUGUGCCAGCCGCCGCGGUAA